GAUCUGGCAAAAGACAAUGAGCCCGCAUUCAUAUCCGGCCCUUGGCUGCCGUUUGGCAAUCUGAGGUCUGAUGAGGGGAGGUGGGAGCGGAGAACAGGAUAGCAGACUGCGUGCGCAUCAAAUGUGUCUGUCAACCCACGGCAAGGUGGGAAGAGCGAAGCCGGCAGUGAUCAGAAGCAGCGCCUCAAGACUUCUCCUCAGUCUCCUCUGUUAUGUUACCUGGCAGUCACCAGAGUGUCCACAUGGAAGUUAUGACGUACUUGGCCUGACUCCAAAUGCUCCCUCCCUGCAGUUUGGACCAGAGAGAAUGGUGUUAGUGCCCUCCGCCCAAUGACCCUGGGAGUGGGGGUCGGAGCCUGGUGGGGACAUCAAAUAGAGAGAUGGCUGCCAGGGAAGCCACACUGAAGGGGACCUCCUGUCUUGACCAGGCUUGUUUCAAGAUAGGUCUGAUAGCACUAAGAUGGCUCUGGAUGGAGAAGAUGAGGAGACCAGUCCCCGUUGAGGCUCUAAAGCUCAGUAUUUGACUCUCAAGGAAAGUCUGACAGCCAUAGCUUCCGUGUGGUUCUUCCUGGACCUGUGGAAAAGCUGACGGCUAGAUUGGUCCUUUCUGGCCUCACAGAGACAACCUUCAUCUGGAUGAAAGGGACUUUCUUUGUCUGUAAAAUGGGAAAGGAAACAGCCUGAAGUUUGGGUUUUAAGUUGCCCUGCACCUCGAAGCUCCGGGUGACACCCUGAUCUGUACCGAGAGCUCGUAUCCCAACAAGAGAGCAGUGGAAGAAAGGAGUGAGUUGGUGAGGGAAGGCCAUCAGACUCUGACCUUAAAUGAACACAAACAGAAGAUGGCAGGAGGGGUCAGCAGGAAAGGGUGUCAGAGAGGCAGGAAUCUCCAUUAGUGUCAGGGACCACUCAGAUCCAGAAUGUGCUAAGCCUGGAGAAGCAGCAGCUGAGGGGAGAAUAAAGCCGCAGAGUCUGGGAAGCAUUCGCAUGUAAAUGAUCUCGCGCAUCCUAAUAAUGACCCUGGGAUCCGGUAUGGGAGUCAUUAUCCUCCGAGCUUGCAGGGACUUCCCAGAGGCAAAUCUGGGAUCAGAGCCCAGAUCGCCUCCAGCCAAACAUUAGGGCUUUUCCUACCGCCCUGUAUACUGUUCGAUGUCACAUAGCUCAAAGGUUCUUUUUGACUCGGUGAGAAGGAUGCAAGCGAGGACUGUCCCGGGAGACGGAGGGAUGCUCCCGUCUUUUCCUUCGGUGUUCACCAGGAAGUAAAACUAUCUUCAAAGCAUGGAACAAAUUUCUCUAGGGUUUACCCUGAGGUCCAGAGAUGCAAAAGAGAACCCUGCAACUCAUCUCAUCUGUGGCACAAACCUGGCUGGAACUCAAAGCUGAGACUGGACUUCCCAGGGUGUGAUGAAAGCACAGAGAAAGGGGAUUUGAGGCAACGUCCUUUUGCCGACUCCCAGGCCUACUUUCUGAGUGGGUUGUUCCAUUAAACAUUUGGACCUAAGAGAAGUUUUACCCUCUGGGUGCUCUGGGUAAGAAUGCAUCUUAGACAAUGGAGGAGGACACAGUGGACCCUGAAGUUCAGUGUUGAGUCCUGCCAGCAGAGUCCUCUAAGGCCCAAAGGCAAUAGAGCCAAGUGACUACGCACCGAAACUUCCAGAGCUACUAGCCAAUAUAACUAUUUCCUUCUUUAUAAACGGGUUAUCUCAGGCUGUUUAUCGCAGUGCUGGAAAGCUGACUAAGAGGCACUGGAUAGGAUUCUUGAGGGAUCACCAUUUCAGGUGACUCUGAGACCUCCCAGGUCUCAGACGAACUGACGAAUUCGGAAGUUUCUUUCUCAGAUGGUACAUAUUAUUCUCUCCUCAAAAUACACCGUGUUGUGCAAAAAUAGAGACAAGUGGAAAAAUAGAGACAAGCCUCCAGUCGAACUUAUGCCAAAUAGAGAGCCAAGUCCUGACCCUCAUCACCUCCCUCCAUCAAACAUGGAAAACCAUUUGACAAAGGUCAGCAAAAUGCCUCUCUGAGACAAUAUUUUUCUUACAUUUGUGAUUGCAAUGAGCUCUUUGUUGUUGUAAUUAUAAGGUCACUGUCCUGGAAUCCUUGAGAAGAAAAUGUCCCCAAGAAGCAGGAGGAGCCUGAGGUCUCGUUUCUUCCUCUCCUUCAUCUUAUUUGAGCUUUCUUUUCUGGGCUAUUGAUCUCUCUGGAAAAGGAAGUUUAUUCUGGAGCGGGUGAUAUCAGUGUGGCUUGAAGCCUGUCAGGAGUUAUCUUCAAAGCUGUGCUGCACACUCCCUCACAUUGUCUUAGGGUGCAAUGUGUGGCCAGAUUUCUGGCUCAAGUCCCAUAGUGGUACACUGUCCUGGGUCAGCCAGGAGACUGCCUCCUCCUGACUUGAGUCUGGCAGUGAUAAGACCUUUAACUGAACCCCUUGUAAAGAACAGUGACUCCUUGCCAGCUCCUCUUUUGUGCCCCAGGGUUUGAAAAAGCCUCCCAUCGAGUGGGAGAAGACUGAACAGCGAUCUUGCCUUGAUUAUAUGUCAUCUUGAUGUAUUUUGAGGCCGGCUCCUCUAGCAAAAUUCCUCCACCCAGCUGGGUGGCGUAUGUGGAGAGAAAGGUUCUUUUGUGAAAAUGCUCAAGAGGACAUGUGGACGGAUCAUUCAAAGAGUGGGCACCAUCAAAGGUCAGCUAAAAGCAGAAGAAGAUGAAUAUAAGGCAGGACAUGUUCUCACCACGUGAGCGUGAAAGACAAAGCCAGGAUUGGUGGGAGGUCAAGCCUCCCACCCUGGCGCCGACUCAUACCACCCACAGAAGCAGUGUGAAGCCGAGGCUGGAGUCUCCUGGUGCCUUACAGUUACCCACUGUGCCCAGGCUCUGAGACUUUGAGCACUAGCCUAGGUCCUAGUUGGUUUAACUCAUCGCAAGUGUGAGGCACACACCAAUUCACUCUUAGGUUCUUACCGGGAUCAGUGCACCCAAAGGCUGCCCCUCAGUGCCAGUUCCUGGCAUUGAGGGCCAGGGAGACUGCUCAGUAGGGGAGGGCUGACAAGCUGGGUUCAAUCCCUGGGACCCGGACAGUGGAAGGAAAGACCUAACUCCCACAAGUUGUCCUCUGACCUCAACGCACGCUCCACGGUAGGUGUGUGUAACAGCAUGUCCUAACAUCGUUUAAAGUUCAUUUCAACAGACAUUGGCCAACCGAACAGUUAUAGAUAUGCAGAGAGUAUGUCUUAGGCCUAUAGAUGGAGCCACGUUGGGAAGGCAUGACCCAGGUCAGCCUCCAAAGCCUGGUUGCAAAGGGAAAGAAAGAGCACCGCUACCACCAAUAGAAACACCUCAAAGUAGAAUGGCAGCCUGUCUCUUGAAGCAUCCCACCUCUCUUCACAUCUUCACAUCUCAGAGCUGGACUGUCCCUCACUCGGGAGAGCCAGCUGGGCCGAGGCCGAGCCGGAUCAGGCAGAGCGAGGGCUCUCUGUUGUGGACAGGGACAGACAAGAGCUAGAGUAGAAUCUUUCUCACUAGGGAGCCCAGGCUAGUCAGGAACAUGCAUGUGGUCCUCUCGCCACAUCCUCUCAAGUCCUGGAGUUAUAGGACGCUGCUCCUGAGCUUCUGGGGUAUCCCCAGUCCUUCAAAGAUCACCGUCUAAAUGGAAGUUUCAUUUGAGUUGAAACGUCCAGCAAGAGGAGAGCUGCCACAGGACCUUGGAAUAGUGAGAGCUGGCUCAGGGAGGAGAGCUGAAGUGAAGGUCUCCCAAAGGCCUCUUUGCUUCCUACCCAUAAGAAUUUGGGAAGCAGCUUCAACCACAUUUUGGACUAGACUGCAAUUCAACCUUCCUCUACCUCUUCAGCUCACUCCCGUCUCUACAUUAGGAAUUGAUUUAUCCUUUGGCCAUCAGUGCAGGUUUGGAGUAACGAGGAAAGGAGGGAUGGACUGAAAGAGGGAAAGCCAUUUCUAAAUCAAGAAAUCUGCUUGAGAGCUAGACAUGGCGGCACACACCUGCAAUCCCAGCACUGGGGAGGGAGAAGCAGGAAGAUUGUGAAUUCUAGGCCAGCCUCGGCAUACAAAGAGAUCUUGAUUUAAAAAAAAAUGUGUGGAGAACUUAAACCAUCAGAGUCUUUUCGGAAUACUUUGAAGAGCCUUCCCAGUAGCUGAUCAACCACCUGCCUCCUUCUUAGGCUUGAAAGCCAUCUUAUAGUAGAGACAAACUAGGCUCAUUCCUGUAUAUGAUUAAAUCUGUUUCCCAAGGAUUGGGCUAUGUCCCACCUGUAACUGUAAUUAUAAGUGGUCCUGUACUGCCUGUUCCAGGAAAUGAAAAACCAGGUCUUUGUUUCAAGAAGUUGUUAUUCCCGCCUUGUAACCAUGCCUUUGUUUUAAAAGGUUAUUAUGACCAAUUUGUUGUGUUUAUGUUGUCCUUUUGUAACUCCACCUCUUUCCUGACAAAUCCCCCAUUUUGAAACUCUGCAUCUUCCCCAUGUCCAAUGCUGAUCUCUCAAACCCUGCCUUAGGGAGAGAGAGGCAGGCUGU